UGGCUUUGGCAGCACGGGGUACCAGAGUAGGAAGGGUACGGAGAAGAUUGGCAUGGCCCUGUGCAAGGAUGACACUCAAUUCGUAAAGCUUUCCAAGUUUUA